rnacentral:pre_miRNA from 1 species
AAAUAUUUUGAUUGCCAUCAAUUGUUCGCAGCCAAUAAAUCCGCACUUAUUGGCUGUGAACAAUUGAUGGCAAUCAAAAUAUUU